GUUUUCAGCCUCCGGGUUUUGUAAUUUAGUGACCCCUAUUGGUGGCCUGCAUAUAUUUAAGCAGAGCACAUGUUGUUCAGCCAUUUUGUUGGUAGCUGUUUGAGAGUGCACACCUAUGAUACAAAUCUCCAUUCACACCUCAUUUAUCCUUGGAAAAAGCAUUGUCUGGAUACCGCUGGUUAUUACUGAGGAUCUUUGCUCCUGUCCAGAAGAAGAGCAAGGUGGUUCUGUGUUGCUAUUGAUUGUCUGGAGAACAUUGUGUGACCUGCUUUGAUAUCUGUCUCCUGUGAUCUAUCAGAAGCUCCUGUUGUGAUUGCAGUUAUCUCAGUAGGUAACAUUGCACUGUCUGGUGUCAAUAAACUUGUGAAUUCAGAAAUCCCUGUUUGUGAAUAAA